GCUCAAAAUUUGAAGGAUGGAGUACACAUCCACACUGCAAGACAGGCUACUACUAGGCGAAAUGAUUAUAUCGAUUUCUUUGUCUUCCUUACACCUGAGGCUGUAAAUCUAAGACCAUCAAAUGUCGCGAACCAUGGUUACCUAACACCUUCUAGCACUGUGGGAGACAAAUGGAUGCUACCAUGUUAAAAGUAGAACCAGAAGACAAUGCUGGAUGCAUGUUUGAUUAUGAGCAGUCAAACAAGAAAAGGCAAAAAUCCUCAGAGAAAGCUCAUAAGAGUAAUAAGAAAGUGAAGAAAGAGCCUUCAUCAUCAAAAGCUAAAGCAGGAGCAAAUAACAGACCAUAUGUCUGUGGUAAAGCCAAAAAGGAAAAUCAACCGCUUUAAUGGUAUGCCAGAGGAGGAAGUGAUACUCAAGACACUACCCGACCACCUUGUACCAGGACUUGAUAUUGUAAUAGUGGGGAUAAAUCCAGGGCUCAUGGCGGCUUAUAUUGGGCAUCAUUAUGCUGGCCCUGGCAAUCAUUUCUGGAAAUGCCUUUAUCUGUCAGGAUUGGUGCCAGAGCCAAUGAACUGCUAUGAUGAUUCUAAACUGAAAGAGUUUGGCAUCGGUUUUACCAACAUCUGUUCCUCGUACAACUCGAGGCAGCGCAGACUUAACAAAGCCAGAAAUUAAAGAAGGAGCUGAAAUUCUGAAGGGAAAACUGAAAAAAUACAACCCCAAAAUUGCAGUUUUUAAUGGGAAAGGCAUCUACGAGAUAUUUUCUGGGAGCAAAAAGAUUUAUUUUGGCAAGCAGCCAGAAAUGAUUGAGGGGACUAACACAAUUGCUUUUGUAAUGCCAUCAUCCAGUGCAAGAUGUGCCCAAUUGCCACGUGCUGCUGACAAAGUCCCAUUCUAUGAUGCAUUACGAAAACUUCGUGAUCAUCUGUUGGGUCGUAUUGCUCACCUAGAUGAUUCAGAAGUGACCUUCCCCAAUCUUGAACUAAAAUGCAAAAAGGAAGAGCCAGAUUUUGAGCAGAACACUGACGAUGACCAGAUAGGGCUCACUGCUCCUUUAAGAAUGAAAACUAGCUCUGAUCAGACAGGCAGCAAGGCUGCUUGUUAUCAGCAGGAACAAUGCCAUGCCAUGGACAAUGAACAGUUCCUGAACAUGUUAGAGAUGCACCAGCAUCAACAGCAAGAAAUGAUGGGUGUAUCACAAGCAUUUCCUGUUACCACGGCCUGUGGACAUGUGCAAUACUCGCCUUCUUUGCUGAGCGCUUCAGAAGACAUUUGGCAGUAUCCAUGUACUUCUGUUCCUUCCUCCUACUCUUCUACCUCAAGAAUAAACCCUAAUGGCAGCUUGCCCAUGCAUGGAAUCACCUCCCAGCAGUUUGGGCAGAGCACUUCUGCAGUCAUGGACCUCAGGGAAACUUACAAUCACCAGCAACAUGAUUCACAAAACAUCUUUGCUACCUCCCGACAGCAGAGUAUUCAAAUUAAGAGCGAGCCAUGUGACUAUGAAGUAAUGCAUGGAUAGAUUUCAUAACUGUACAUCUUCUGAAUAAAGUUUUACACUAGCUGUUGAUUUGAAUAUUGUGAAAAAAAAUUUAUCACAUUAUGAUUAUUAUGCAUGCCUACAUUUCAGCAGUUUUAUGGUAUUGUGUUCCUAUCAUGCAGCAACUUUGGCUCAGGUGAUUGUUUUUAAUAUUUUGUCAUUUACUAGCUAUUUAUAUAAUUUAUUUACUCAAGGAAGAUUGCUUAUAUGUAUACAGUACUGAAUAUGCUGUCAUUAUUUAUAAAGUCUCAUUUGCUGUGUAAGCAAAAUAAAGAAAACAACAUUA